AGAGUUUGAUCAUGGCUCAGGACGAACGCUGGCGGCGCGCUUAACACAUGCAAGUCGAGCGAGAACCAGGCCUUCGGGCCUGGGGAAAGCGGCGAACGGGUGAGUAACACGUGGGUAACCCACCCUUGGUACCGGGAUAGCCCGAGGAAACUCGGAUUAAUACCGGAUGGCCCAACAGCUUUUCGGAGCGGUUGGAAAAGGUAGCUUCGGCCUCCGACCAAGGACGGGCCCGCGGCGGAUUAGCUUGUUGGUGAGGUAACGGCUCACCAAGGCUUCGAUCCGUAGCUGGUCUGAGAGGACGAUCAGCCACACUGGGACUGAGACACGGCCCAGACUCCUACGGGAGGCAGCAGUGGGGAAUCUUGCGCAAUGGGCGAAAGCCUGACGCAGCGACGCCGCGUGGGGGAAGAAGGCUUUCGGGUUGUAAACCCCUUUCAGGAAGGACGAAGCCACUCGGGUUAAUAGCCCAGAGGGUGACGGUACUUCCAGAAGAAGCCCCGGCUAACUACGUGCCAGCAGCCGCGGUAAUACGUAGGGGGCAAGCGUUGUCCGGAUUUAUUGGGCGUAAAGAGCGUGUAGGCGGUCAGGUAGGUCCGUUGUGAAAACUCGAGGCUCAACCUCGAGACGCCGAUGGAAACCAUCUGACUAGAGUCCGGAAGAGGAGAGUGGAAUUCCUGGUGUAGCGGUGAAAUGCGCAGAUAUCAGGAAGAACACCCGUGGCUAAGGCGGCCCUCUAGUACGGUACUGACGCUGAGACGCGAAAGCGCGGGGAGCGAACAGGAUUAGAUACCCUAGUAGUCC
rnacentral:rRNA from 1 species